CGGAAGUGACGUGUGUUCAGGAGCAGUGGCGUUUCCGCUCAUUGCAGGAAAGAUGGCUAGUGUGUUUAUGCGCGUUUGUUUGUGAGUGAUAAAUGUCAAUAUAUCUGUUAUAUCUGGAUAAGUCUAGAGAGCUGUUUGAGUGACUAAGGUGAAGCGCACCGUCUGCAGUCAUGGGCCGGCGCUCCACCUCCUCCACCAAGAGUGGGAAGUUCAUGAAUCCCACCGAUCAGGCCAGGAAGGAGGCCCGCAAGAGAGAGCUGAAGAAGAACAAGAAGCAGAGGAUGAUGGUUCGAGCAGCAGUGCUGAAGAUGAAGGACCCACGUCAGAUCAUCAAAGAUAUGGAGAAACUUGAUGAGAUGGGUGUGUGUGAGAGAGAGAGAGUGAGAGUGUGUGUGUGAGAGAGAGAGAGUGAGAGUGUGUGUGUGAGAGAGAGAGAGUGUGUGUGUG